UAAAAAAAAAAUGUCAAACUGUAGGAGGUAAAAAUAGUUCAUGUGAAAUCUUUAUGUAUUGAUUUAUUUUAAAUUUAUAAGUAUUAUUCUAUUUAAUUUAAAAUGUAAAUAAAAAAUGGGAAAAAGUAGGCUAGAGAAAAGAUGGUAGUGACUGAAGUUUCAACUAAACAUUGAUCUUGAAAUUCAAAUAACAAACUUUUUUUCUGCACAGAGGCCUCGUUUCUAAAGGUUUGUGUUUAGGAGUUAAAGAGUUGAAAGAAGGUUUUAACCAUGAUAUGAUAGCCUUCUUGAGACUAUCUUUUAUUAAACAAAGAAGAAACAAUUGGGUUUAGACUAAAUAUACAGCAUCGACAAGUUUUUGUGAAAGUUUAUUUAAUCAUUCAAGAGGUACUAAAGUGUGCGUUACUGAUGUUGUACAUCCAUCAGGAAUAUUUUUUUCAAAACCAAGUACACAGUCCAACUCAGAAAAUGAUUUGUGUUACUAUAGUUGCACAUCUAUCUGAAAUAUUUUUUUUAGAACCAAAUACUAGACAUGUUAUAAAUGACAUGUUAUAAAUGUACUUAGUUCUAGUAGAAACUAAUUACAGGCACUUUCACUAAGAAAUUUUGACAAGCCCAAAUAAACUAUUGCUGUCAACAUAAAGAUGAUUGAAGAGACUGAGAAUAGCUAUAGGCAUGGAUACAACAGCUCAUAAAAUAUUAGUAACCCUAAUUAAGCUUUCCCCAGCUGUCACCACAGCUGGAGAUCUCUUUCUUAUACUUAUGCUUUUUGAUUGAAAAAUAACAUCAACAAAGAUACUGAUAAUAUUAAGGUUCUUAUUUAAAAUAAGAUCAAACAAAAUAAGAUAAAAGUUCAGUUACACUUUGAUUGAAAGUUAAUCAAGGUUUGCAUAUAUUUAUUUAUAACUAGUAUGUUAAAUAAUUACAAUGAAAAUGUUUUUAUUACAUAUUUAUUUGAUUCCAAAUUCCAGAACAUAUUGAUAUUGACAUAUUGAAUAUUUAAUGUUGAUGUAACAGUUGCUAAGAUUUGCAUUCUUGUGAGAGCUGAAGGAACUACUCAUCUACUUAGUGCUCCAUGGGUUCCUUCCCAUACAGGAUUAAAUUGGUUUAGGCUAUCAAGGAGGUUUUGACCGAGUUUGGUAUUGCUGAUUAUGUAAGAAUGGUUUUCUUUGACACUACUGCUACCAAUACUGGAAUAAAUUGUUGUGCUAAAUGCAGAUUGAGUUUUAGAUAUAUUCUUGGAACAUUAUGAGUCAGCAGUUACCAUAGGUCAGCAGACCUGGCAAUGUACUUUUGUUGAUGUUGAUAAUGACACAGUUUAUUGAUCACUUCAAUUCGCAACAGAUUUGUCAUUCUUAGUUUAAAGAACAAGCAGAUGAGGCAAGAAAUCUUUUAAUAACACUUGUUAAUGAAGGUGUUUUCAAAUAUUUUCAGGUUAAUUUUUCUAGCCAUUUAAAUGUUCAAGUUUAUGUAAGAAAUGUGAAAUAUUUAUUAAUAAAAACAAUAUCCAACAUUACCAGGAACUAGAGACUACCAGGAACUUACUGAGCUAGCUCUUAUUUUUUAGGAACCAACAAUCAAGCAUCUCAACAUUCACAAGCCUGGGGCAAGUAAACCAUACACGUUUUAUGGCAGUAAGUAUUUACUGAUCUGAAGAGUUCGCAAUGUCAUGCUUCCUUAUAAUUUGACAAAGCAAAUCCUGAACUUGAGACAAAAGGAAGAUAAAGAAUGU